rnacentral:rRNA from 1 species
GUUGUAUAGUCAAGUAAUUAAGUGCAUGUGGUGGAUGCCUUGGCAGUCAGAGGCGAUGAAAGACGUGAUAGCCUGCGAAAAGCUCCGGGGAGGCGGCAAAUAUCCUUUGAUCCGGAGAUGUCUGAAUGGGGGGGAACCCACCUACUUUAAGGUAGGUAUUGCAACAUGAAUACAUAGUGUUGCAAGGCGAACGAGGGGAAGUGAAACAUCUCAGUACCCUUAGGAAAAGAAAUCAAUUGAGAUUCCCUCAGUAGCGGCGAGCGAACGGGGAUCAGCCCAUUAAGUUAUGUGUGUUUUAGUGGAACGCUCUGGGAAGUGCGAACGUAGAGGGUGAUAUUCCCGUACACGAAAGGGCACACAUAAUGAUGACGAGUAGGGCGAGGCACGUGAAACCUUGUCUGAAUAUGGGGGGACCAUCCUCCAAGGCUAAAUACUCCUGACUGACCGAUAGUGAACCAGUACCGUGAGGGAAAGGCGAAAAGAACCCCUGUGAGGGGAGUGAAAUAGAUCCUGAAACCGCAUGCAUACAAGCAGUGGGAGCACCUUCGUGGUGUGACUGCGUACCUUUUGUAUAAUGGGUCAGCGACUUAUAUUCAGUAGCGAGGUUAACCGUAUAGGGGAGCCGUAGAGAAAUCGAGUCUUAAUAGGGCGUUUAGUUGCUGGGUAUAGACCCGAAACCAGGCGAUCUAUCCAUGAGCAGGUUGAAGGUUGGGUAACACUAACUGGAGGACCGAACCCACUGUCGUUGAAAAGCCAGGGGAUGACUUGUGGAUAGGGGUGAAAGGCUAAUCAAGCCUGGUGAUAGCUGGUUCUCCCCGAAAGCUAUUUAGGUAGCGCCUCGGACGAAUACCAUAGGGGGUAGAGCACUGUUUCGGCUAGGGGGUCAUCCCGACUUACCAAACCGAUGCAAACUCCGAAUACCUAUGAGUACUAUCCGGGAGACAGACUGCGGGUGCUAACGUCCGUAGUCAAGAGGAAAACAAUCCAGACCGCCAGCUAAGGCCCCAAAAUCAUAGUUAAGUGGGAAACGAUGUGGGAAGGCAUAGACAGCUAGGAGGUUGGCUUAGAAGCAGCCACCCUUUAAAGAAAGCGUAAUAGCUCACUAGUCGAGUCGGCCUGCGCGGAAGAUGUAACGGGGCUAAAACUAUGUGCCGAAGCUGCGGAUGUAUACUUUGUAUACGUGGUAGGGGGAGCGUUCUGUAAGCCGAUGAAGGUGUGUUGAGAAGCAUGCUGGAGGUAUCAGAAGUGCGAAUGCUGACGUGAGUAACGACAAAACGGGUGAAAAACCCGUUCGCCGAAAGACCAAGGGUUCCAGUCCAACGUUAAUCGGGGCUGGGUGAGUCGACCCCUAAGGCGAGGCCGAAAGGCGUAGUCGAUGGGAAAAUGGUUAAUAUUCCAUUACUUCUGUGUAAUGCGAUGAGAGGACGGAGAAGGCUAAAUCAGCCUGGCGUUGGUUGUCCAGGUGAAAGGAUGUAGGCAUGUAUCUUAGGCAAAUCCGGGGUACUCUAUGCUGAGAUCUGAUAGCAAGCUGUACUUGUACAGCGAAGUGGUUGAUGCCAUGCUUCCAGGAAAAGUCUCUAAGCUUCAGUUACACAGGAAUCGUACCCGAAACCGACACAGGUGGUCAGGUCGAGUAGACCAAGGCGCUUGAGAGAACUCUGCUGAAGGAACUAGGGCAAAAUGGUACCGUAACUUCGGGAGAAGGUACGCUGUUGUUGGUGAUGGAACUCGCUUCCUGAGCUGACGACAGCCGCAGAAACCAGGCCGCUGCAACUGUUUAUUAAAAACAUAGCACUCUGCAAACACGAAAGUGGACGUAUAGGGUGUGAUGCCUGCCCGGUGCUGGAAGGUUAAUUGAUGGGGUUAGCGUAAGCGAAGCUCUUGAUCGAAGCCCCAGUAAACGGCGGCCGUAACUAUAACGGUCCUAAGGUAGCGAAAUUCCUUGUCGGGUAAGUUCCGACCUGCACGAAUGGCAUAAUGAUGGCGGCGCUGUCUCCAGCAGAGGCUCAGUGAAAUCGAAAUCGCUGUGAAGAUGCAGUGUACCCGCGGCUAGACGGAAAGACCCCGUGAACCUUUACUGCAGCUUGACACUGAACUUUGACCUUACUUGUGUAGGAUAGGUGGGAGGCUUUGAAGCUGGAACGCUAGUUCCAGUGGAGCCGUCCUUGAAAUACCACCCUGGUAAUGUUGAGGUUCUAACUCUGUCCCGUGAUCCGGGACGAGGACCGUGUCUGGUGGGUAGUUUGACUGGGGCGGUCUCCUCCUAAAGAGUAACGGAGGAGUACGAAGGUGCGCUCAGCGUGGUCGGAAAUCACGCGUAGAGUAUAAAGGCAAAAGCGCGCUUAACUGCGAGACCCACAAGUCGAGCAGGUACGAAAGUAGGUCUUAGUGAUCCGGUGGUUCUGUAUGGAAGGGCCAUCGCUCAACGGAUAAAAGGUACUCUGGGGAUAACAGGCUGAUACCGCCCAAGAGUUCAUAUCGACGGCGGUGUUUGGCACCUCGAUGUCGGCUCAUCUCAUCCUGGGGCUGAAGCAGGUCCCAAGGGUAUGGCUGUUCGCCAUUUAAAGAGGUACGCGAGCUGGGUUUAGAACGUCGUGAGACAGUUCGGUCCCUAUCUACCGUGGGCGCUGGAAAUUUGAGAGGAUCUGCUCCUAGUACGAGAGGACCAGAGUGGACGAACCUCUGGUGUACCGGUUGUGACGCCAGUCGCAUCGCCGGGUAGCUAUGUUCGGAAGGGAUAACCGCUGAAAGCAUCUAAGCGGGAAGCCUACCUCAAGAUAAGAUUUCCCUAGGACUUUAUGUCCUCUAAAGAGCCGUUCGAGACUAGGACGUUGAUAGGUUGGAUGUGGAAGCAUAGUGAUAUGUGAAGCUGACCAAUACUAAUUGCUCGUGAGGCUUGACUAUACAACACCCAAGCAGUUG